rnacentral:rRNA from 1 species
CCCUUAGAUGUUCUGGGCUGCACGCGCGCUACACUGAUGCACUCAACGAGUUUACGACCUUGCCCGAUAGGGUUGGGUAAUCUUUUUAAAAUGCAUCGUGAUGGGGAUAGAUUAUUGCAAUUAUUAAUCUUCAACGAGGAAUUCCUAGUAAGCGCGAGUCAUCAGCUCGUGUUGAUUACGUCCCUGCCCUUUGUACACACCGCCCGUCGCUCCUACCGAUUGAGUGCUCAGGUGAAUAAUUCGGACUGCAGCAAUGUUUGGAUCCCGAACGUUGCAGCGGAAAGUUUAGUGAACCUUAUCACUUAGAGGAAGGAGAAGUCGUAACA